rnacentral:rRNA from 1 species
UGGGGAAUAUUGCACAAUGGGCGCAAGCCUGAUGCAGCCAUGCCGCGUGUGUGAAGAAGGCCUUCGGGUUGUAGAGCACUUUCAGCGAGGAGGAAGGUGGUGGACUUAAUACGUUCAUCAAUUGACGUUACUCGCAGAAGAAGCACCGGCUAACUCCGUGCCAGCAGCCGCGGUAAUACGGAGGGUGCAAGCGUUAAUCGGAAUUACUGGGCGUAAAGCGCACGCAGGCGGUUUGUUAAGUCAGAUGUGAAAUCCCCCGGGCUCAACCUGGGAACUGCAUUUGAAACUGGCAAGCUAGAGUCUCGUAGAGGGGGGUAGAAAUUCCAGGUGUAGCGGUGAAAUGCGUAGAGAUCUGGAGGAAUACCGGUGGCGAAGGCGGCCCCCCUGGACGAAGACUGACGCUCAGGUGCGAAAGCGUGGGGCAGCAAACAGGAUUAGAUACCCUGGUAGUCCACGCUGUAAACGAUGUCGAUUUGGAGGUUGUGCCCUUGAGGCGUGGCUUCCGGAGCUAACGCGUUAAAUCGACCGCC